rnacentral:rRNA from 1 species
UAAGCAGAGUAUGAAAUAUCACGGCUCAACCGUGAAGACGUAUUCUGAACUGACAAACUAGAGGAUGAGAGAGGCUAUUGGAAUUUCUUGCGUAGGAGUGAAAUCCGUAGAUAUAAGAAGGAACACCGAUGGCGUAGGCAGAUAACUGGCCCAUACCUGACACUGAGGCACGAAAGCGUGGGGAGCGAACGGGAUUAGAUACCCCGGUAGUCCACGCCGUAAACGAUGGAUGCUA